rnacentral:lncRNA from 1 species
GCAGCAAUAGGUGGCACACAAUUCUCUCUCAAAAUUGCCCAUGCUGUUGAAAACUAGGGCAUCAUCCAACAGCAGGCACAUUUUUCAUUUUUCUGAAAAAGAUAAAAACUCCUAAUUAGCAUCCAUCACCAACCAUUUUUUUUGGGGCCAAGGCAAAUUGAUUGUGCAACCUCAUUUUAUCCAAAACUGACCACACUGUCAAGAACCCCUAAGAAAAAAAAACUGGCUUUUGCUUAAACAUCAUAUCUUCCUCACUUUCUGGCCUGGCAUUAGCA